rnacentral:rRNA from 1 species
AGGAUGAACGCUGGCGGCGUGCUUAACACAUGCAAGUCACGGGGGCCCAGCAAUGGGCAACCGGCGAACGGGUGCGUAACACGUGAGCAACCUACCUAAGUGAGGGGGAUAGCCGGCCCAACGGCCGGGUAAUACCGCAUACGCUCGAAUUGAGGCAUUUUGAUUCGAGGAAACCUACGGGGCACUAUGAGGGGCUCGCGGCCUAUCAGCUAGUUGGUGGGGUAACGGCUCACCAAGGCGACGACGGGUA